AGAGUUUGAUCCUGGCUCAGACGAACGCUGGCGGCGUGGAUAAGACAUGCAAGUCGAGCGCUGGUUGGAGGGUAGCAAUAUUCUUCAGCCGGAGCGGCGCAAGGGUGCGUAACACGUGGGUAAUUUGCCAUUAAGUUGGGGAUAACUUGCUGAAAGGCGAGCUAAUACCGAAUGUGGCCCGAUGGAGGCAUCUCCGUCUGGCCAAAGCUGGGGACCGCAAGGCCUGGCGCUUGAUGAUAAACCCGCGGCCUAUCAGCUAGUUGGUGAGGUAACGGCCCACCAAGGCGAUGACGGGUAGCUGGUCUGAGAGGACGACCAGCCACACUGGAACUGAGACACGGUCCAGACACCUACGGGUGGCGGCAGUCGAGAAUUUUUCACAAUGGGGGAAACCCUGAUGGAGCGACGCCGCGUGGGGGAUGAAUGGCUUCGGCCCGUAAACCCCUGUCAUUUGUGAACAAACCUUUUCGUUGAACAGGCGAAAAGCUGAUAGUAGCGGAAGAGGAAGGGACGGCUAACUCUGUGCCAGCAGCCGCGGUAAUACAGAGGUCCCGAGCGUUGUUCGGAUUCACUGGGCGUAAAGGGUGCGUAGGUGGCCGGGUAAGUCUGAUGUGAAAUCUCGGAGCUCAACUCCGAAACGGCAUUGGAUACUAUCCGGCUGGAGGGUCGGAAGGGGGACUGGAAUUCUCGGUGUAGCAGUGAAAUGCGUAGAUAUCGAGAGGAACACCAGUGGCGAAGGCGAGUCCCUGGACG
rnacentral:rRNA from 1 species